AACCAAAUCCCUAGAAAUUUAACAUUGGUAACAACAGCAGUUGAUAGUGACAACCCAUGUUGCAUUAAAUAAUCAGCAAGAUAUUCAAGUGCACAAUUUAACUGAUUGGAUGAAUCCUGUAUGGACUUGUUGGAAGUAUACAGAACAAUAUCAUCUGCAUAUUGCAGUAUUUGGCAGAAGGGGGAUACAGAGCUAUUGAGGUCAUAUGUAUACAGAUUGUAGAGAAGGGGACUAAGGACUGAGCCUUGAGAAACUUUUGCAAGAGUAGAAGAGAGGGCAAUUGGUCUAUAACUUGUGGCUUCAGAUGGAUUCUGACCAGGUUUAAGAAUUGGUAUUAUUACCUGAUUUUUCCAGGGUGGAGGGAUGACCCCAAAAGUC